rnacentral:rRNA from 1 species
GACGAACGCUGGCGGCGUGCUUAACACAUGCAAGUCGAACGAAGUGGCGAACGGGUGAGUAACGCGUAAUCAACCUGCCCUUCAGAGGGGGACAACAGUUGGAAACGACUGCUAAUACCGCAUACUGAAGGAGGUGCUUGAGUCUGAUUGGCUGGUUGGAGGGGGAACGGGCCACCAAGGCGAAGAUCAGUAGCCGGGCUGGGAGGGUGAAAGGCCCAAUCGGGAACGAGAAACGGGCCAGACUCCCACGGGAGGCAGCAGUGGGGAAUCUUUCGAAAGGGACGAAAGUCCUAAGAAGCAAAGCCGCGUGAGUGAUGACGGCCUUCGGGUUGGAAAGCUCUGUUAAUCGGGACGCGGUACCGGAAGAGAAAGCCACGGCUAACUCCGUGCCAGCAGCCGCGGUAAUAC